rnacentral:lncRNA from 1 species
CAGGGCUCUGGCUCUACGGGUUGGCGCGAGAGUCAAAAGGCUCGCAUCGCUUUUGCGCAAGAUGGCUGCUGCGGGGGCAUUCGCGUACUGAGUGCUAGCGCGGGGAUGGAGACGUGUAGACUGAGUUCGAAACGAAGGUCCCAGCUCUUUUCUUGUUUUUGUGUGUGUGAAGUGGGGGUGGGGCGAGUAAUAGGUGUGUGUGAACACCGGAGUGCGCGAGAUGAGGAGGGCAUUCCCCGGCUUGUAGUCCGCCAGGCUCUAGUCCCAAAGACAAGGCCUCCGGAUGUGAGCGAGCUCCUAGGAUUUAUUCCGGGAACGUUGUAAUCGAGGCCUGAUCAGCGUCAGAACGGCCCUGCCUAGAGCGAUCUUUGUGGCCACGCUGGAGAGCGGACUGCGGAGACUGUUGUUCCCUCGUUUCUGGGCACUAAUAAAGGUGACUCCCUAGUGCUGGGGUUCUCAGGGACAUGCACGAAGUUAAUCCCUACUUCUAAGGCAAUCAUCGAAGCAGAGCGGAUCCAUGCUUCAGAAGUGCUCACAGUGGGGACCCCUCCGCCGAGGGUACUCCCUACUUCUGGGCGCUCACAGUGAGUGUCUUUUUUCUUAGCGGCGUAUGGUGUGGACCCAGCUCUGAACUUCGGCGGAGGGGAUUUCUGCCGCCGGAGAAGGGACCCCUAUUCCUCCCAACCCCGAAUCCUGUUUACCCAAUGCCUUGUUAUGGGUUAGAUAUUCCGGUAAGGGAUGGGGGAAGUUGGAGGCUCUUUAACACUGCCGGAUAGGAACGGUUAAAUGGGUAUUUGCAUAUUUAUGUGUCCAUUGUCUACCGGAGGUGAAUGCAAAUUCAGUCAUUGUAAUGUAAAGAAAUUCUGGAAUGCUUCUGGAAGGAAUGUUGGUCCGUCCGCCCUGAGAUGUUUGGGUGUGCUUGUUUAAAGAUGAACUGUCCAGGGAAAGCAACUUCUCAUUGAGUCACUGAAAAUAAGACCAGUUUAGCAGAUCUGUCAGACACAAUGACCACAGUGGCAGUCUCUUAACUCCAUAGCUCUACCCGAAGCUAUCCAGGUUGGUAUCGACAAACUUUGUAGCACUUACUUUAACUCUGGGUAAAGUUGGAUUAUCAACUCAAACUUGUGCAAGGGAAGAGGCUGGUAUCAUGAGGAGAGAAGAGGGUUAACUCAGAAUGUUAAUGCCUCUGUGGAUGGUGGAUGAGCAAUCUGCUAGUCCCCUAGUCUUUUCUACAAACUAGCUCCUGUUGAGGGUUCUUCAGCUGCUUGACUUUGAGCUCAUCUUUGCUGCUUGCAUGACAUUGUCACAUAUGUCCUCCCAGUACUAUUUCUCCUACACCCUGACCUUCAUUUCAUGUAAGGCAUUUUUUUGCCAGUUGAUUGCACCCGGACUCCUGUUGUUCUCUUUGGGCUGUGAAAUGCUCCCCUCCACUGCUUGGGCUUCCCUGGGAAGUUCCACUAAAUACCAGCAAGUUUUGUCUUUUCCUUUUGCUCAGGUGAUAAUUUUUAUUUUUUGAAUUUUCCAGAUAAUGUUUCUCUGUGUAGGUAGCUUGGAUGUUAGUAGUGUGCCUCAUAGGCUGCUCAUGGUGGCAUACCUAGAGGCAAGUGGAUCUCUGUGCGUUCCAGGUCAGACAGGGCUGUGUGCCCUACCAUGCCCAGUUCAAGUGAUCUUGUAAACUAGGGAUUCUUAAACUUUCCACCUACAACCACUUUAUGCAUAAGGAUUUUUUUUUUAAGUUUUAUUUUAUGUUUGUGAGUACACUGUAGCUGUCUUUAGACACACCAGAAGAGGACAUCAGAUCUCAUUACAGAUGGUUGUGAGCCACCAUGUGGUUGCUGGGAAUUGAACUUGGGACCUCUGGAAGAGCAGUCAGUGCUCUUAACCCCUGAGCCAUCUCUCCAGCCCCAGCAUAAGGAUUUUUUUCGUGCUAUUCUGGUUAUAUGGAUGUAUAAAAUACAAAUCAAAUAUUAACUGAUAAUUUCAUAACAGCCUUCUCCUAUAAAUACAAUUUUACCUUUAAGGACAAAAGCAAAUUUUCAUUCUAAUAGGAUGCAUAUGCUUGCUUAUUUUUACAUUACAUUAAGUGUUAGCCUUGGGGCUGGAGAAAAGAUGGCUCAGAGCUUUAAGUUUCCAGCACUGAAGUCAGGCAGCUCACAGCCACCUGUAACUCCAGUUUCUGGAGAUCUGAUAUCUCUGGCCUUUGGGCACUUAUGUACACAUGAAUAAAAAUAAAUCUUUGGGGUUUUUUUGUUGUUGUUUUGUUUUGUGACAGGGUCUCACUAUGUAGCUCUGGCUGUCCUGGAACUUGCUAUGUAGACCAGGCUAGCCUUUAAGUCACAGAGAUCCUUCUGCCUCUGCCUGGAUUAAAGGUGUGUGCCACCAUGCCUGACAAAUCUUUUUUAAAAAGAAUUUUUUUUGGCUGGAUGAGGUGGCACAGGACUUUAGUCUAAGUAUUUGAGUUCAAGGAUAACCUGAUCUAUAUAGUUCCAGGUCUGCUAAGCCUACAAAGAGAUACCCUCUG